rnacentral:misc_RNA from 1 species
GAUGAAGAACGUAGCGAAAUGCGAUACGUAAUGUGAAUUGCAGAAUUCAGUGAAUCAUCGAGUCUUUGAACGCACAUUGCGCCCCCUGGUAUUCCAGGGGGCAUGCCUGUCCGAGCGUCAUUGCUGCCCUCAAGCACGGCUUGUGUGUUGGGCCUCCGUCCUCCUCCCGGGGGACGGGCCCGAAAGGCAGCGGCGGCACCGCGUCCGGUCCUCGAGCGUAUGGGGCUUCGUCACCCGCUCUUGUAGGCCCGGCCGGCGCUUGCCGACACAUCAAUCUUUUUUCCAGGUUGACCUCGGAUCAGGUAGGGAUACCCGCUGAACUUAAGCAUAUCAAUAAGCGGAGGA